rnacentral:rRNA from 1 species
AUGAUUAGCCACUUCAGUCAAUACCGAAAAAGGCCAUCGUCUCGCUUUAUACAUAAAGCAUCAACCAUUACAAAGGAACCAUACAAACACACCGACACCGCUCGGGAUACCAGCUAUACAAUAGAAGCUCACACUGGCGAACAGGAAACUAGAAACUUGGACAAAGCAAAGCUAAAUGAAGCACUAAACCAAAGGGGCUUGCUUGAACCUAGCAAUGGGCACAGGUUUCCCGAAGCGCCACGGCGCCACUCAUCAAUCAGGCCACCGCACCCUCGGCACACUCCAAAAGCCAAGACCGGCGAUGUAGGAAGAUACCCUCAGCUUGAAGGAGGAGGGCACAAAAGAUGA